rnacentral:rRNA from 1 species
CAGCAGCCGCAGUAAUACAGAGGAUGCAAGCGUUAUUCGGAAUGAUUGGGCAUAAAGCGUCUGUAGGUGGCUUUUCAAGUCCACCGUCAAAUCCCCGGGCUCAACCCUGGACAGGCAGUGGAAACUACCAAGCUGGAGUACGGUAGGGACAGAGGGAAUUUCCGGUGGAGCGGUGAAAUGCGUUGAGAUCGGAAAGAACACCAACGAUGAAAGCACUCUGCUGGGCCGACACUGAUACUGAGAGACGAAAGAUAGGGGAGCAAAUGGGAUUAGAUACCCCCGUAGUCCCUGUCUCUUAUAC